CAGGAGUACCGUCUGCACGAGAUAGACAGACAGGUACGACACAGAUAACACCAUCGAGUACCACCUGCACCAGAUAGACAGACAGGUACGAGACAGAUAACACCAUCGAGUACCGCCUGCACCAGAUAGACAGACAGGUACGAGACAGAUAACACCAUCGAGUACCGCCUGCACCAGAUAGACAGACAGGUACGAGACAGAUAACACCAUCGAGUACCGCCUGCACCAGAUAGACAGACAGGUACGAGACACAGGAGUACCGUCUGCACGAGAUAGACAGACAGGUACGAGACAGAUAACACCAUCGAGUACCGCCUGCACCAGAUAGACAGACAGGUACGACACAGAUAACACCAUCGAGUACCGCCUGCACCAGAUAGACAGACAGGUACGACACACAGGAGUACCGCCUGCACGAGAUAGACAGACAGGUACGAGACAGAUAACACCAUCGAGUACCGCCUGCACGAGAUAGACAGACAGGUACGAGACAGAUAACACCAUCGAGUACCGCCUGCACCAGAUAGACAGACAGGUACGAGACAGAUAACACCAUCGAGUACCGCCUGCACCAGAUAGACAGACAGGUACGACACACAGGAGUACCGCCUGCACGAGAUAGACAGACAGGUACGAGACAGAUAACACCAUCGAGUACCGCCUGCACGAGAUAGACAGACAGGUACGAGACAGAUAACACCAUCGAGUACCGCCUGCACCAGAUAGACAGACAGGUACGAGACAGAUAACACCAUCGAGUACCGCCUGCACCAGAUAGACAGACAGGUACGACACAGAUAACACCAUCGAGUACCGCCUGCACCAGAUAGACAGACAGGUACGAGACAGAUAACACCAUCGAGUACCGCCUGCACCAGAUAGACAGACAGGUACGAGACAGACAACACCAUCGAGUACCGCCUGCACCAGAUAGACAGACAGGUACGAGACAGAUAACACCAUCGAGUACCACCUGCACCAGAUAGACAGACAGGUACGAGACAGAUAACACCAUCGAGUACCGCCUGCACCAGAUAGACAGACAGGUACGAGACAGAUAACACCAUCGAGUACCGCCUGCACCAGAUAGACAGACAGGUACGAGACAGAUAACACCAUCGAGUACCGCCUGCACGAGAUAGACAGACAUGUACGAGACAGAUAACACCAUCGAGUACCGCCUGCACCAGAUAGACAGACAGGUACGAGACAGACAACACCAUCGAGUACCGCCUGCACCAGAUAGACAGACAGGUACGACACACAGGAGUACCGCCUGCACCAGAUAGACAGACAGGUACGACACAGAUAACACCAUCGAGUACCGCCUGCACCAGAUAGACAGACAGGUACGAGACAGAUAACACCAUCGAGUACCGCCUGCACCAGAUAGACAGACAGGUACGAGACAGACAACACCAUCGAGUACCGCCUGCACCAGAUAGACAGACAGGUACGAGACAGAUAACACCAUCGAGUACCACCUGCACCAGAUAGACAGACAGGUACGAGACAGAUAACACCAUCGAGUACCGCCUGCACCAGAUAGACAGACGGGUACGAGAGGCAGCACACCAGAGCGACUGACAGCUGCUGUUGGUCGUCCUAUCGUCUCAUGUUUUGUUAAUUUCCAGUGGAUUCUACAUGACUGACAGCGGCUGUUGGUCGUCCUAUCCCCUCAUGUUUUGUUAAUUUCCCGUGGAUUCUACAUGUCUGACAGCGGCUGUUGGUCGUCCUAUCGUCCUCAUGUUUUGUUAAUUUCCCGUGGAUUCUACAUGUCUGACAGCUGCUGUUGGUCGUCCUAUCGCCUCAUGUUUUGUUAAUUUCCCGUGGAUUCUACAUGUCUGACAGCGGCUGUUGGUCGUCCUAUCCCCUCAUGUUUUGUUAAUUUCCCGUGGAUUCUACAUGUCUGACAGCUGCUGUUGGUCGUCCUAUCGUCCUCAUAUUUUGUUAAUUUCCCGUGGAUUCUACAUGUCUGACAGCGGCUGUUGGUCGUCCUAUCGCCUCAUGUUUUGUUAAUUUCCAGUGGAUUCUACAUGUCUGACAGCAGCUGUUGGUCGUCCUAUCGUCCUCAUGUUUUGUUAAUUUCCCGUGGAUUCUACAUGUCUGACAGCGGCUGUUGGUCGUCCUAUCGCCUCAUGUUUUGUUAAUUUCCCGUGGAUUCUACAUGUCUGACAGCUGCUGUUGGUCGUCCUAUCGCCUCAUGUUUUGUUAAUUUCCCGUGGAUUCUACAUGUCUGACAGCGGCUGUUGGUCGUCCUAUCGUCUCAUGUUUUGUUAAUUUCCCGUGGAUUCUACAUGUCUGACAGCUGCUGUUGGUCGUCCUAUCGCCUCAUGUUUUGUUAAUUUCCCGUGGAUUCUACAUGUCUGACAGCGGCUGUUGGUCGUCCUAUCGUCUCAUGUUUUGUUAAUUUCCCGUGGAUUCUACAUGUCUGACAGCUGCUGUUGGUCGUCCUACCGCCUCAUGUUUUGUUAAUUUCCCGUGGAUUCUACAUGUCUGACAGCUGCUGUUGGUCGUCCUAUCGCCUCAUGUUUUGUUAAUUUCCAGUGGAUUCUACAUGUCUGACAGCUGCUGUUGGUCGUCCUAUCGCCUCAUGUUUUGUUAAUUUCCCGUGGAUUCUACAUGUCUGCCGCAGUUCAUUAACCUCCAGCGGGUGAUGACUAACACACCGUGGCCACCUACUGCUUUUAGACCUUCCUCUUCGUGGUGUCUUCUCUACGAGGCAUUAUCGAGCUCUCUGCACUACACUUAGGCUAUGGCCCCGGGGCUUUUCAUUUCAGACAGAAACUCAGCAGACCUCUCCUCCACUCUGAAACUUGAGAUGUAUAUAUUGAAUUAUUCGAUUAAGACAAGAGGCACUGCGCUCUUUUAUAAUAGAAGCUGAAUUCUGAAUUGGUUUUAAGAUGAAGAAUCAUGCCUGGAAUUUUUCUAAGUAAUCUUAACACCCAGCUUGGUUGGCAUGGGAACAACUAUAUUUAUAAUUGUAGAAACAUCAUGGUUCAGUAUAUAACUAUAACUAGACUGUAUUUAUAAGUAUAAGACUCUAAGGUGUGAGAGUACAGUACAUGUCUCUGUUAGUUAUGUGUUUAACUCUCAACUGGAAACUCUUGUUUCAUAUCUCCCCUCCCCCCGUCUCUCUCCCCUGUCUUUCUCCUUCCCCUAUAUCUCUCUCCCCCUCUCUCUCUCUCUCCCUCCCCUCCC